UACAGAGGGUGCGAGCGUUAAUCGGAAUUACUGGGCGUAAAGCGUGCGUAGACGGUUAUUUAAGUCGGGUGUGAAAGCCCCGGGCUCAACCUGGGAAUUGCAUUCGAGACUGAAUAGCUAGGGUACGGUAGAGGGAAGUGGAAUUCCCGGUGUAGUGGUGAAAUGCGUAGAUAUCGGGAGGAACACCAGUGGCGAAGGCGACUUCCUGGCCUGUUCUUGACGCUGAGGCGCGAAAGCUAGGGGAGCAAACGGG
rnacentral:rRNA from 1 species